rnacentral:tRNA from 1 species
GGAGAGGUGGCCGAGUGGUCGAAGGCGGGCGACUCGAAAUCGUCUUAGGGUGCUGAGCCCUACGUGGGUUCAAAUCCCACUCUCUCCGCCA